GUUAUUCCCUGCCUCAUACCUGUUCCUGAUUAUCGGUCUAAUUGAAUGAUGGAAAACACCUGCGUAGGAGCGUCUGACAUUUAAUGGCAGUCCAACUGAGGCCCGGUGCAUCCACAGAGGGGCUCUAAUUAGUCCAACAUAAAAAGUGGAAACAGCUGUGUGUGGAUUCACCGAAGGAGUGUGAGGUCUUCAAACACCAUGGAGCCAUUUGCAAGCUGUAAUUGCAUCACGUCCUUUACCACACCUGCAUUCAUCAUGAGGAUUUUGAUCCUCCUCCACCCUGCACACCUGUGUCCAAUUCCUUCAUCAUCAAGCCUCAGCUUCUAAAUAUCAGCUUCUUUCCUUUUAACCAUUUCUGACGUCUGUGUGUAAAAGUGAAGAUGUUUCAUCCAAUGCUUAACAGAGCCAUUAAAUCCAGCUCCUUUAAAAAGAUGUCACUUCCAUCACUGUGACAUAAAGCUCUCUUUAGGAUCUUGGUGUCCUGUGUGGCCUUCAUUUUUGCUUUUGCACAUAGGGCUUGUUUGGACUGUCUUAUAAAUGUUGGUUUUAUUCAGAGUCUGCAUAACUGGCAUUUUCUUUGUUUCCAAUCAUCUUUGUUACUAAGGACAAUGCAUGUAGCAAGAAAUCUGAUAACACCGCAGUGAUUUCAGAACCAGGACAAAGGUAAUGACUUGAAUCUUCAUUAGGUGAAACAAGCUGCAAAUGCUCUGACAGUGAAAAUUCAAAAGC